GACUUUGAGAUCGAGAUUGACUUUUGUUGUUAUAGUUUGAAUUGAAUUUUUGUCGCAUAUUUUCAUUAUAAUUUAUUUUCAUUGAUACAAUGAAUACUUUUUUUAAAUCAUUGUUCAAAUCAAAAUGAAUUCCUGCAAUAGUAAUAUUCUUGACAAUACCUCGACACCAAAACGUCGAGGACGUAGGAGUCUAGGUAUAAUAAAAAUUUCAAGAUCACCCAAACUUCUUAAACUGAAAACCAAAGAAGCUGACGAGAAUAUUGUGAAUAGUACGCCAAUAAGUUCUAUUGUGACUGGUAAAGUUGAAUCACCGUGUUUGCCGUGCAACCAGGUGGAGUACUGCGAUUCCAGGAGUAACAGUUCAACAUGCAGCGAGAUACCGUGUUCGCCCGGCGUCCUGGAGUCGGGAUUUCUUAAAGAUCUCGAAAACUGGGACUCCUUUGUGUGUAGUAAGAACAACAACAGUGGAAAUUCGAAGUUAGGUUAUCUAAACGACUCUGUUAAUAUGGAUGAAAUUUUUCAUUCAAAAUUAGAACAAGAUUUAAUCAAAAGUCAUUUAGACAGAACUCUACUAACUUCUAGGUGUGAGAAAUUAUUGCGAGAUGAGAUUGAAGACAGUUUUGAUAUGAUAAAUCAAUCUAUAUGCAAUAUAAAUAAUGAUAAACAAAGGUCUUUAUUUGAAACUAGGGAUUCAUUUUUAUUAGAUAUAAGGGAAAGUAGUAUUGUAGCGGAACAGAAGGUUUUGAAGACAAAUGAUUUGCUGAAAUCAAAGUUGUGUCAAGAAUUUGUUAAUCCAAAUACAUUCUAUGGACUUCCAAUGGUGGUCAAAGGAUUGUUUAAAACUUAUAGGAAUAUUGAAAAGUUUUAUGACUGGCAAGAAGAAUGUCUCAAUUUAGACGCAAUAAGACAAAGACGUAACCUCAUCUACGCUCUCCCAACAAGUGGAGGCAAGACGCUGGUGGCGGAGGUGCUCAUGUUGCGGGAGGUACUCAACAGGAAACAGAAUGCACUGUUCAUUCUACCAUUUGUAGCCAUUGUGCAGGAAAAAAUUUGGUCACUAGCACCAUUUGCACUGCAAUUAGAUUUCCUAGUGGAGGAGUAUGCGGCGGGCAAGGGUCACAUACCUCCCAAGAAGAGGCGCAAGAAGAACAGUAUCUACAUUGCCACUAUUGAAAAGGCCUUGGCCUUGAUCAGGAGUUUGAUUGAGCUGGACAGAUUGAAUGAAAUUGGACUUAUUGUGGUGGAUGAGCUGCAUCUUAUAGGGGAGGCGGGGCGGGGCAGCACACUGGAGACAUUGUUGACUACUGUCAUAUUUGCCAACCAGGGUAUUCAAAUAGUGGGCAUGAGCGCCACAAUAGGCAACCUGCCUGACAUAGCCCAGUUCCUGAAGGCUGACGUGUACGAGAAGCAGUUCCGCCCGGUGGAGCUGACGGAGUAUGUCAAGCUGGGUGCCAUGCUGCAUAGGAUCCAGUGGACUGAUGGAGCCAUGGAGCUGGUCCCGGAGAGACAGCUGGCUUUUGACUACUCGGCGGCGGGCGCGGCGCUGGACCCCGACUACCUGGGCGGGCUGGUGGCGGAAGUGGUGCCGCAGGCGUCGUGCCUCGUAUUCUGCGCCACCAAGCUCAACUGCGAGAACGUCGCCGCGCUGCUGUGCAAACUGCAGCGACGCGAAAUGAGCAACCACCGCGUCCCGGAGCGCUCGGCUCUGCGCCAGGCGCUGCGCGCGGAGGGCGCGGGCGACAACCUGCUGCACUGCGUGCGCUUCGGCGUCGCCUUCCACCACGCGGGGCUGGCGGCCGACGAGCGCGCGCUGCUGGAGCACGCCUUCAGGUCACGGCGGCUUCUAGAUUCCACUCGGGCGGGAGUGAUAUCCGUGGUGUGCUGCACGUCGACGCUGGCCGCCGGCGUGAACCUGCCCGCGCGGCGUGUCAUCGUGCGCGCGCCGCGCGUCGGCCGCGACCUCAUCUCGCUGGGCGCCUACAAGCAGAUGGUGGGGCGCGCCGGCCGCGCGGGCGUGUGCGAGGCCGGUGAAAGCAUCAUAAUCUGCGGCGACGCGGACUGGCCGAGGCUGCGGCGCGUGCUGACGGGCGGCAUGCCGGGCGCGCGCAGCCGGCUGCGGGCGGGCGUGGGCUCGCUGCUGCUCAGUGCGGUCGCGCUGCGGCUGGCGGACGAGCGGCGGGCGCUGCGCCGCCUGCUGGCCGCCACGCUGCUGGCCAUCGCACCGGCGGACAGUUGUCUGGAUUUGGACGAAGUGUUUGACGAGUCCAUCAAAGCCUUGCUGAAGAGUGGCGCGGUGGAGACGGUCGGCGCGGCUGCUGACGACGGCAACUACCGCUUGACUGUGAGCCAACUCGGCAGGGCGGCUAUUAAAGGGUGCAUGGAGCUGAGUGUCGCCAAGCAGUUGCUGCGCGACCUGGACGUGGCGUCCCGCAGCCUGGUGCUGAUGGGCAGCAUGCACCUGCUGUACCUGGUGGCGCCGCACGACAGCGGACUGCGGCCCGACUACAGGCAAUACUACGCCCGGUACUGCGACUUGGACGAGGAGGGUCUCCAGACGGCGAGGGUGUUGGGCAUCACCGAGAGGAACGCGAUACAAAUUAUGACUGGGAAGCCGAUCACAAAUGUCCCGGAGAGUGUCCUGAGCAGGUUCUACAUCGCGAUGAUGCUGCGCGACCUGUGGCGACAGGUGCCGUUCCCGGUCGUCGCUGAGAAGUACUGCGUGCCGCGCGGCACGGUGCAGGGGAUGAUGGCGAGUGCAGCGGCGUUCGCGGCGGGCGCCGUGCGCCUGUGCGACGAGCUGGAGCCGCUGUGGAGCUUCAAGCUGCUGCUGGAGGGGCUGGCGCUGCGCCUGCGCCACUGCGCCGCGCCCGAGCUCGAGCAGCUCAUGGAGCUGCCGGCCGUGAGGAAGGUAUACUGCUGGUGCUCUGUGCGACGAGCUGGAGCCGCUGUGGAGCUUCAAGCUGCUGCUGGAGGGGCUGGCGCUGCACCUGCGCCACUGCGCCGCGCCCGCGCUCGAGCAGCUCAUGGAGCUGCCGGCCGUGAGGAAGGUAUACUGCUGGUGCUCUGUGCGACGAGCUGGAGCCGCUGUGGAGCUUCAAGCUGCUGCUGGAGGGGCUGGCGCUGCGCCUGCGCCACUGCGCCGCGCCCGAGCUCGAGCAGCUCAUGGAGCUGCCGGCCGUGAGGAAGGCGCGCGCGCUGCAGCUGGUGCGCGCGGGCUACAAGCGCAUAGAGGACAUCGCCAAGGCGCCCGCGAACGAGCUCAUGAACAACGUGGCGCACCUCUCGCGCUCCGCCGCCGACCACCUCAUAAGCGCUGCCAGGGUUAUGCUCAUAGAGAAAGUAGAAAAUUUACGCGCUGAGGCUGAAGAUGUGAUGGAGGAACUGAAGCUUUAAUACAUUAUAUCAUGAUUAUCAUUGUUUGAUUAGGAUGUCUUGCCAUUACAAGAUCUUUGCUAACUAGGAAUAUAGAUCAUAGCGAUGGGUGUCACUCAUAUCUAUAGUGUAGCAAGGUCUCAAAAUAAUGGUCAAAAACAUUUUACAAUUAUACAGAAGUCAAUUAUACUACCUCAAUAACAUAAAAAUUAAGUGUACAAGUUUUUAUUAAUAAGUAAUAUAUGAAUUGAUUUAAGUGAUGCAAUAAAUUAUUUAUAAUAA